rnacentral:rRNA from 1 species
GAUGAACGCUGGCGGCGUGCUUAACACAUGCAAGUCGAACGAUGAAGCCCAGCUUGCUGGGUGGAUUAGUGGCGAACGGGUGAGUAACACGUGAGUAACCUGCCCUUAACUCUGGGAUAAGCCUGGGAAACUAGGUCUAAUACCGGAUAGGAGCGCCUACCGCAUGGUGGGUGUUGGAAAGAUUUAUCGGUUUUGGAUGGACUCGCGGCCUAUCAGCUUGUUGGUGAGGUAAUGGCUCACCAAGGCGACGACGGGUAGCCGGCCUGAGAGGGUGACCGGCCACACUGGGACUGAGACACGGCCCAGACUCCUACGGGAGGCAGCAGUGGGGAAUAUUGCACAAUGGGCGCAAGCCUGAUGCAGCGACGCCGCGUGAGGGAUGACGGCCUUCGGGUUGUAAACCUCUUUCAGUAGGGAAGAAGCGAAAGUGACGGUACCUGCAGAAGAAGGACCGGCCAACUACGUGCCAGCCGCCGCAGUAAAAC